rnacentral:lncRNA from 1 species
AUGCGCGGCAGCUCGAGUCCCGGGGCCAGGGGCUCUGCCGCUGCCUCCCUCGCCCGCCCGCCCGCCCGCCUGCCCGCCCGCGAUCUUCCUCGGCUGACAGUUACUGUUCCAAGUGACCCUGAUUCACCAUGUGCUGCGAUAGUGGUGUCAGGUCACAAAAUUCAGCUGGAGUUUGCAGCUGGCUAAAAUAAGUAAGCAUACAUGCUGCUUUUUUCCAAGUUGGGAGAAAUAUUUAAUAGAGAUGGACCGAAGCUGAUCCUCCACAAAUAGCAAGCACCAGUACCAACGUGGAGCAAGUACCACAUUUCUACAGGUAACAUUCCUAGUUGUUUAUCAGCAGAAUAGGUACAUCCAAUACAGUAAGUAGAAUAAGAAAACUCUAUAUAUAGAUAAGGAUCUUGGAAAUGGAUAUUUUGUUUUUAACUUAGGUUUUCUAUUUUAUAGUUUUUAACCUAACUAGCAAAUCAUUUUGCAAAUUAUGUCUAUUAUUGGCUGUUUCCAAAUGUAUAAAUGUUGUUAUAGCAUUAGUUCGCU